AAGACUGCUAACUGAAAGAUGCCUGUUCUCUCAUUUCUGUUUCCUUCUCUCACCCUCUCAUUAUGUGUCCUUGUUUAUAAAUUGCUAUUCCCCACUUUAAAAAGAUCACUACGCACAGAUGUGAACCACAAAGCACCACCAAGACCUUUGAAGAGAAACAUUUAUCUGCUUAUCUGAACAUUUCCUUUCUUUGAGUUAAUGAAGUCCAUAGAUCUGUUACAAUGGGUAUUUCGGCUUGCAGGUUAGAAACAGAGCCAUACUUGUCAGUCACUGGCAGCAGGGAAAUGCCCUGCCCCCUUAAAUUUUCUCCAAUUGAAACAGCUUCAACAGCCAGGGUAAUUUCAUUCUACUUUCCAAAAUUAGAGACUGCAUUAAAUAUACACUGAAGAAAAAGAACAAUUUAUCCUACUGCAGAGCAUAAGGACAAUUUCCCCUGAUAAAAUAAACCUAAAUGUUUGGUUGUCAAUUUCCAUCUCAAUUCCGGAUGAUCCCAUUUGUCUCUGGGAGAAGCAAGAUCUGUGGAAAUUGUUUCAAGGAAAGGAAACAUGCAGAGAGAAGACUUCCAUCAAAAAUGGUACUGGCUAAAGAUUGGAUGACCAAUAUGCAGAAUCUGGUGAAUUUAUAUACGGAUGGCUACCUCGCUGCCUAGCAGAUCUCACUACUGAAGAUAUGACUUCUCUGCCCUGAAAUUGUCAGCACUUUUACAGAUUGGACUUUGAUGCUUGAUAGAAGGGAAAAUAUUUCUUGAAUUUCCUUUGGGCAUGAAUGAUAGGACAGUUGUAAAGACUAUUUGUCAGAAUUCAAAAUACACACUGGGUCUCAUUCAGGAGAGUUCCCAAGUUCAAAAGCUCAUCUGAUUGGAGAUAGCAGUUAUCGGGAAGUCUACUUUAAUGGAUAAAUAUGAUGACACUUGCAACAGGGGGGUUAAUUGAGGUAGUGUUGUAAGGACCGGAAUGAAAUGUCAAGGUUGUAUUCUAUAACCUGUGGGGCUGGAAACAAGGUAGUUACCCUAAGGAGGUAUUUAAUGUCAGGGUUUACACAUCUUGUCUUUAACAUGCUGAGACCCUUAUACUAGAGAAACUUUACAUUGUUGCUUGAACAUUCUCAUUAAAGCCCUCCUGGAGGAAUUCAAAUUCA